CUGGUGCUCCGGGAAAUAGAGAGUUGGGCAGAGUUCCCAUCCUGUGGAGCUUGCAGUCGGAAAAAUCCUCUACACACCAAGAAGGCUGGCAGAGUAGCAGUUGAUCCACAGUGGGAGCCCAGAGGGGGAAGGAAACAACUACUAAGCCAUUCCAGAAGUAUUCCAGAAGUAUUCCAGAAGUGCUGUGUGGUAUUUGGAGAGCUGGGUACCAGCUGCAGCACAGAUUUCCAGGGGUUUCAGCUGAGUGAGGAGAGGGCUGUGGGCUCAGGAGACAAAAGGGAGGCACUGCUUGUGGAAAAGUAACCCCUUUCAGACCUGUGAACACAAAGCGUGGCUGAGCGAAUCCAUUGCUCUGCAGACCGGGAGAUGCUGUGCCUGGUGCCGAGCUGAAGAGAUGAAGAGAAGUUUGGGCCAUUCCUGGGCUGGGGCUGGAGGAACAGAAGUGAAAGACAAGACAGCUGUGGUGGGGAGCAGGAUUCAUUCCCCGGCUCCCUGUCUGCUCUCCGUGGCCUUCUCGGGCGCCGCCAAGCAGGUGCCUGUGGGCUGAAUUGCAGUGGGUGUUGCACAAGGAGCUGCAGGCUGGUGGAAAGGCUCCAGGGAGACAGCUCCAGCCUACGGACUGGAGGUUUGACUCCCUUCGUCUAGACACUCUCACGGGGAUUACCUCAGCAAUAAUUUGUCAGCCUCUAUUUAUUUUCCAGCGGCAUGGUUAGUAUUUACUGGUGCUGAGAUUCUCCUCACACUCUUCCAUAGUUUAUCAUGCAAGAGGCACUUUGGGCAAAGAAGCUUCCUAGGGCACCAUUUCCAUGGGUUUUUGAAUAAUAGUGGUGAUACUCAUGCUUAAGAGAAGGAAAUGUAUCCAAACAUCCGUAUCCCUCUGAGGAGCAAGAGCAUCUCUUGUGUGUAUUUUGAUGCAGCUGAUUCUCCAAAAGCAUCAGGUAUUUUAGUCAGAAUUGUACAUAAUCAUUUGUGUUCAUCAAGCUUGAGAAAAAGGUCUGAGCACACUUUGCUGUCACUUUAAGGAAAAAUUCUUUCAGUCUCAAAACCAUUUAUUUGUCACAAUCCUAGUUUUUUACACAACAAACCUACCACUUUCAGGGACAGUAAAUUUACACACAAUCCGUGAGGAAUGUAUGCAUAGCCCAACUUUAAACAUGGAUGUUGGUGCCUGACAUGAGCACUGCCUUGGGUUCUCUGGGUUGUUAAUGAGCAGAUACCUCUGAGCUGCCUUUUGCUAAAGCUUUUCAAGUAAACUGCUGCUUUGACACACAUUCUGGAAGAGUUUUCCUAUUCCUGUGGAUUGGAGAAAAGGAAUAUUAUAGUCCUAUUUUAUGCUAAAAAUUGUAUAGCAUAAAAAUAAUUUUACAGUAUAAAAAUUAUUUGAACUAUUUUAUAUUAAAAUACAAUUUAAAAAUAAAUCUGUGAAAUAACCACCCUUGAACUUCCUCCCUUCUGUUCACAAUUGGGAUUAAAGUUCA